AUUGAACGCUGGCGGCAGGCCUAACACAUGCAAGCCGAGCGGAGCGGCGGACGGGUGAGUAAUGCCUAGGAAUCUGCCUGGUAGUGGGGGAUAACGUCCGGAAACGGGCGCUAAUACCGCAUCCUAUCACAUGAGCCUAGGUCGGCUUUGCUAGUUGGUGGGGUAAAGGCCUACCAAGGCGACGAUCCCUAGCUGGUCUGAGAGGAUGACCAGCCACACUGGAACUGAGACACGGUCCAGACUCCUACGGGAGGAAGCAGUGGGGAAUAUUGCACAAUGGGCGGAAGCCUGAUGCAGCCAUGCCGAGUGUAGGAAGAAGGCCUUCGGGUUGGAAAGUACUUUCAGCGGGGAGGCGUUACCCGCAGAAGAAGCACCGGCUAACUCCGUGCCAGCAGCCGCGGUAAUUC
rnacentral:rRNA from 1 species